GCCAGGGGCUCUGAAAAGGGCCUCCGGACUGCGCUCCCAACCAGCCGAGCCGGUCCGUGUUGUAACAGCCCACAAGGCAGUGCGACGAGGUUGCGACUGGAACGAAGUUGUCCUGAGGGACGGGGAAGCGCCGCAAUAACCGCAAGAUCGGAGGCAGUGCCCGACGAGUCGCCCAUCGGUUACCACGAACCAGCAAGCGAUCCGAGAGCGCAAAACCAUCC
rnacentral:ncRNA from 1 species